rnacentral:lncRNA from 1 species
AUAUGACAUGAGGUAUUUCAGGAAAUAUCAAUCCCUUGAUUUAAAAAAAGCCCAUUAAAAUCCAAUGCAAUUAUUAAAUAAGAAAUGGUGAAGAAAUCUAUGUAACAGUUAAUUGUACUUUAAAUGAUAGUCCAUGAAUAUGAAUCAUAAAAAUGCUUUUUAAAACAAAGUUAUUAGGAAAUAUUAAUUCACAAAAUAAUAUAUGAAUUUAAAUCUACUGAAAAUAAUAUGUGGUACUAAAUUAAAUUAUAUUUAGUAUAUUUCUAUGAUAUUUAGUAUAUUUCUAUGAUUGUGUGAUUUUUUUUUUUGGUUCCUGAUAUUUUUCGGAGAAAUAGUAUUGAUGUGUUCAGCAUGUCCUAAUUCCCUUAUUGGUUAUACAAAUAUGACAUUUAAUUUCUCUUCCUUUCUAUACAACCCCCCCCAUCCUUCCAUCUCUAUCCAUAACUGGUUGAAGCAAUGCUUUGUUACACAUAACUUUUAUUCAUUCAAUUGGCAUUUAAUCAGUUGUCCUGAUGAUUUUAAUCACGCCUACAUAUAUUGAUCUGAUUUCGGCACAUUUGUGCAUAAUAGUGACUUACAAAUUUACUAUGUAUUAUUUUCCAUAAGCAUUUAAUUAUUAUUAUAGACUAUAGAGUCUUAUUUUUCAAAAACUAGACUGUUUUUUACAUUAUUAUUGAAAGGACAAGUUUUAAU